CGUAUGUAGAUAUAUGAGCGCAGGGGCUGCUGGUCCGUCUUCUGGUGCUUAAAUACUAUAUGGUCUCCCGUGGCGUGGAGAGGACUUUUGCUUUGAAGUGCGUGUAUCCGCUGUGUGGAAGGUCCAGGAAGGCUCGGGGAUGCGGGGAGUGAAGACGUUAUUUCUUGAAUCGUCAGCUGACUUGCUUUCACAUAUUACCAAGUUGCUUCGUCCUGGCCUAAACUGAUUUAGUGGUGUCUGAUUUUUUGCAACCCUAUGAACCAUAGCCUACGAGGCUGGUUUGUCCAAGAGAUUUCUCAAGCAGGAAUACUGGAGUGGGUUGUCAUUUCUUUCUUCAGAGAAUUUUUCUCACCCAGGGGUCAAGCUCGGAUCUCUUUAAGUCUUCUGCACUGUUUCCCACCCCAGACGCUGCAGACUGGCCUGCAAAGGGGAAAGUGGAGUGUGUGUGUUUCCUGCUCGCCAGUCAUCUACAAGGCAACAGCCAAGACUUCCACUCACCUGCAGACCCACACAGCCCACCUCACUGCUCCACACAGAACCGCAAAGGGAACUUUGCCAGAACAAAUGCCACUCCAGCAGCUUUGCGAUUUGGGGUGAAUCGGGUCCUGGGACACUUCAGUAAAGGGUGGGAACACCAGAGUGAGACGCUGUGGUCACCCCAACCCAGAGACCACCCACUCCUCUCCCUUCCAAUCCCUUUCUCCCUUCUGGCUCAUCCUGUGUUCCCUCCUGAUCUUUGCCUUCCUCGGAUCUUUUCGCCAGCCUCACACCUUUGUUUCUUGUCCUACAAUGACAGCUGCGUCAUUGAGUCUUUUGUAACCACUGAAAGUUCCAAAUUAUAAGUAUCAGAGUGAUGCUUCUUAGCACCUCGAAGGGAAAACUUUAACUAGCUAUUCAGGUCCAUCACGGGCCUCAUCAGUGUUUUUCUCCCGAGCAGUAGAGGACACAAGUGUUUCCAUUCGCUCACGUCGUGAGAAAUCAUCUCAGUGGAGCAGAGUCUCGGCAGAACGAAGGGAACCCAGCCCCCCGCUUCGGACUCCCAACGGCUCAUCUCCCCUUCUUCCACGGAGCAGCCUGGCCGGGCGGCCCUGGGUCAGGGACCUGGGUCUCCUCAGACGCCGGAAUAUGCUACCCGAGCUCCUCUUUCGGUCUGAGCUUGGGACCAAGGCACAGGAUUCCAUGAGUGAAGGUUCGAAUCUUGACUGAACAGCGGCUUUGCAUGUCCAACGGAGACUUAAGAGUGAGAAACUCUGAAUAAAAUCAUAAUAAACUGAGACA
rnacentral:lncRNA from 1 species